AGUAACGCGUGGGUGACGUACCUGUUGGUGGGGAAUAACUGCCCGAAAGGGUGGCUAAUUCCGCAUAAGUCCUUUGGAUCAAUCUGAAGGGGAAAGCUUCUUGUAAAAGAGAGGCGCCGAUGGAGCGGCCCGCGUCCGAUUAGCUUGUUGGUGGGGUAACGGCCUACCAAGGCGACGAUCGGUAGCUGGUCUUAGAGGAUGAUCAGCCAGACUGGGACUGAGACACGGCCCAG
rnacentral:rRNA from 1 species